UACGUAGGGUGCGAGCGUUGUCCGGAAUUAUUGGGCGUAAAGGGCUCGUAGGCGGUUUGUCGCGUCGGGAGUGAAAACCCAGGGCUUAACCCUGGGCUGGCUUCCGAUACGGGCAGACUAGAGGUAUGCAGGGGAGAACGGAAUUCCUGGUGUAGCGGUGAAAUGCGCAGAUAUCAGGAGGAACACCGGUGGCGAAGGCGGUUCUCUGGCAUUACCUGACGCUGAGGAGCGAAGUGUGGGAGCGAACAGG
rnacentral:rRNA from 1 species